GCUCUGAGUCCUACCUCACCAUCAGUCAGACCAUCUCCUUUUUUGCAAUUCCCAUCAAAGUUAAAGCUAUUUUUAAUUUUAUAUUCUUCAAACUCUUCAUCGUCAUCGAAUUUCUUGGUGCCGAAGCAACGAAAGGUAUGCUGUUGAAAGUGGAUAUACAAUCUGAAGCUUCAAAGGUUGUAUUCAGAAUGUCAAGGGGGAAUCCUUGCAUACUGCAAAAUAUCAGGAUCCAAGAGAGAUGCUACCAAUUUUUCUUAAAGGCAGGUUUCCUCAAAGAGCGAUGUUGUGGAUGCUCUAGUUCAAAAAGGAUUCUCCAAAGAUGUCGCAUAGGUACUUCAAACUGCGAGACAUGCUUGAAUGGAUUAAUUUGUAGUUUUGGCUCUGAAUCUUUUAUUUAUGGAUUAACUGGCAUAAGUUUUUUCAUGUUUGGUUGUUACUUUUUGUUUCUUUAUAUAGCACCGAUCUAAUUUUCAA